rnacentral:rRNA from 1 species
AAAUUGAAGAGUUUGAUCAUGGCUCAGAUUGAACGCUGGCGGCAGGCCUAACACAUGCAAGUCGAACGGUAACAGGAAACAGCUUGCUGUUUCGCUGACGAGUGGCGGACGGGUGAGUAAUGUCUGGGAAACUGCCUGAUGGAGGGGGAUAACUACUGGAAACGGUAGCUAAUACCGCAUAACGUCGCAAGACCAAAGAGGGGGACCUUCGGGCCUCUUGCCAUCGGAUGUGCCCAGAUGGGAUUAGCUAGUAGGUGGGGUAACGGCUCACCUAGGCGACGAUCCCUAGCUGGUCUGAGAGGAUGACCAGCCACACUGGAACUGAGACACGGUCCAGACUCCUACGGGAGGCAGCAGUGGGGAAUAUUGCACAAUGGGCGCAAGCCUGAUGCAGCCAUGCCGCGUGUAUGAAGAAGGCCUUCGGGUUGUAAAGUACUUUCAGCGGGGAGGAAGGGAGUAAAGUUAAUACCUUUACUCAUUGACGUUACCCGCAGAAGAAGCACCGGCUAACUCCGUGCCAGCAGCCGCGGUAAUACGGAGGGUGCAAGCGUUAAUCGGAAUUACUGGGCGUAAAGCGCACGCAGGCGGUUUGUUAAGUCAG